UGAACGCUGGCGGCAGGCCUAACACAUGCAAGUCGAACGGUAACAGGAAGAAGCUUGCUUCUUUGCUGACGAGUGGCGGACGGGUGAGUAAUGUCUGGGAAACUGCCUGAUGGAGGGGGAUAACUACUGGAAACGGUAGCUAAUACCGCAUAACGUCGCACGACCAAAGAGGGGGACCUUCGGGCCUCUUGCCAUCGGAUGUGCCCAGAUGGGAUUAGCUAGUAGGUGGGGUAACGGCUCACCUAGGCGACGAUCCCUAGCUGGUCUGAGAGGAUGACCAGCCACACUGGAACUGAGACACGGUCCAGACUCCUACGGGAGGCAGCAGUGGGGAAUAUUGCACAAUGGGCGCAAGCCUGAUGCAGCCAUGCCGCGUGUAUGAAGAAGGCCUUCGGGUUGUAAAGUACUUUCAGCGGGGAGGAAGGGAGUAAAGUUAAUACCUUUGCUCAUUGACGUUACCCGCAGAAGAAGCACCGGCUAACUCCGUG
rnacentral:rRNA from 1 species